rnacentral:sRNA from 1 species
UGUUCUUAUUUCUAAAAUUUCUAUUUAUCAUUACAUAUGUACUCUGCAAAAUUCACCAUGAGGCUUUUUCUUUAAAAAUCCAUUGUACCUUGCUACUAUUACAGCAUUCCUGAAGGAAGAGAUGUGUGGAUUUGAUAAAUAUUUUCCCUGUCCUCAGCAACAAUAGCUGAAAAUGUUUAAUUAGCUAAAAAAAAAAUUGUUACAUCAUGAAGACUCUCAAAAUGAAGACUUUGCUGCUUCUGAUCACUGGUUAUUAUCCGAACAACAAAUUCACUACAAAAUCCACUGAACAUCCAAUGGCCACCUUAUCUCCAAAUACCGUAAUUAUGGACAUCCAUGCUAUGGGACCAUAGCACAGGAAAAGAGCACUGACAAAGUCCACAAAGCAUAAUACCCUCCUUUGAACAUGAGACUACAUGCAUGGUAUCUUCUCACUGCUAAAUCGAUAUCAGCCAAAUAGUACAGAACCCACAGACCUUAACAACUAUAACAAGCAGAAAAGCCCAAGGACAAAUAUGGAGAAGGAAACUGAAGGAAAGGCAGUCCAAUGAUUGGCCCAACUUGUGAUCCAUCUGAUGGCAGGUCAUCAAGGUCUGACACUGUUACUGAUGUUACGAUGUGCAUCAGCCUGACAUGGCUGUUCUCUGAGUGCCCCUAACAGGAUCUGACUGAGACAGAUGCAGAUACUUAUACCCAACCAUUGAACUGAAGUCAGGGAUCCCUAUGGUUGAAUAAGGGGAAUGUGACUCCAUAGGAAGACCAGUAGUCUCAACUAUCCUGGAUCCCAGAGACUGAACCACCAACCAUGGGCAUACACUGUCUGGCCAGGGCCCCUGGCAUGUAUGUUAGGAGAGGUCUGCCUGGUGUGGUCUCAGGGGGCGAAGAUUUGUGUUGGAGAGACCUGAGAAAUACUUUUUCCAUCUACUUUUAUUGAAAAUCUUCCUUGAUGUAAGAGUCUGAAAUUGCAUCCAAUCUCAUAGAGUUUGUAAAGUAUCUAUCUAGGCUUAUUAUUAUUAUUAUUAUUAUUAUUAUUGUUGUUGUUGUUGUUG